AACGAACGCUGGCGGCAUGCCUAACACAUGCAAGUCGAACGAGGUUUCCACUUCGGUGGUUUCCUAGUGGCGCACGGGUGAGUAACGCGUGGGAACCUGCCUUGUGGUACGGAAUAACUCCGGGAAACUGGAGCUAAUACCGUAUGUGUCCUGUGGGACAAAGAUUGCAUCGCCAUGGGAGGGGCCCGCGUAGGAUUAGCUGGUUGGUGGGGUAACGGCCUACCAAGGCAACG
rnacentral:rRNA from 1 species